rnacentral:rRNA from 1 species
AAUAGAUACCCGGGUAGUCCACGCCGUAAACGAUGAAUACUAGGUGUAGGGGUUGUCAUGACCUCUGUGCCGCCGCAAACGCAUUAAGUAUUCCGCCUGGGGAGUACGGUCGCAAGAUUAAAACUCAAAGGAAUUGACGGGGGCCCGCACAAGCAGCGGAGCAUGUGGUUUAAUUCGAAGCAACGCGAAGAACCUUACCUAGACUUGACAUCUCCUGAAUUACUCUUAAUCGAGGAAGUCCCUUCGGGGACAGGAAGACAGGUGGUGCAUGGUUGUCGUCAGCUCGUGUCGUGAGAUGUUGGGUUAAGUCCCGCAACGAGCGCAACCCUUAUUGUUAGUUGCUACCAUUAAGUUGAGCACUCUAGCAAGACUGCCCGGGUUAACCGGGAGGAAGUGGGGAUGACGUCAAAUCAUCAUGCCCCUUAUGUCUAGGGCUACACACGUGCUACAAUGGCAAGUCAAAAGAUGCAAUACCGCAAGGUGGAGCUAACUUAAAACUUGUCUCAGUUCGGAUUGUAGGCUGAAACUGCCUACA